rnacentral:rRNA from 1 species
AGAGUUUGAUCAUGGCUCAGGAUGAACGCUAGCGGCAGGCCUAAUACAUGCAAGUCGAGGGGCAGCACAGGUAGCAAUACUGGGUGGCGACCGGCAAACGGGUGCGGAACACGUACGCAACCUUCCUUUAAGCGGGGAAUAGCCCAGGGAAACUUGGAUUAAUACCCCAUAAGACAAUGGAGUGGCAUCACUCAGUUGUU